rnacentral:rRNA from 1 species
UACGUAGGGGGCAAGCGUUGUCCAGAUUUAUUGGGCGUAAAGAGCGUGUAGGCGGCUUUACAGGUCCGUUGUGAAAACUCGAGGCUCAACCUCGAGACGCCGGUGGAAACCGUAAAGCUAGAGUCCGGAAGAGGAGAGUGGAAUUCCUGGUGUAGCGGUGAAAUGCGCAGAUAUCAGGAAGAACACCCGUGGCGAAAGCGGCUCUCUGGAACGGUACUGACGCUGAGACGCGAAAGCGUGGGGAGCGAACAGG